CAGCCGGCCAGCCUGCCUCCUCCCUGCCUGGGGUGCUGUGCCUUUGGGUGGGGUCCGGACAUCAUACCAGCCCUCGUCUCCUGGCCGCUUCACCAAGGAGACCACCCAGAAGAAUUUCAACAAUCUCUAUGGCACCAAAGGUAACUACACCUCCCGGGUCUGGGAGUACUCCUCCAGCAUUCAGAACUCUGACAAUGACCUGCCCGUCGUCCAAGGCAGCUCCUCCUUCUCCCUGAAAGGCUAUCCCUCCCUCAUGCGGAGCCAAAGCCCCAAGGCCCAGCCCCAGACUUGGAAAUCUGGCAAGCAGACUAUGC
rnacentral:sRNA from 1 species